rnacentral:snoRNA from 1 species
AGCACUAUUUUUUAACCCUAUUGAUGGAAAUUUUCACCACUUUAGGUUACGCUGUAGUGCCAAAGAACCCCUUAAAACCCCAAAGAACAGCUGAUUGCGUGUUCAGCUCGUGUUCUGGUGGUGGUGUUAAGGAACAUGA